rnacentral:lncRNA from 1 species
AUGAGAGAAAAAAGUAUUUUUACUGAUAGAGAUUUUAGCUCCUCCCAAUUCUUGCUUAAAUUAUCCAACUCUUGGGUUAUAAAUUUGCUUUUUAGUGACAGCAUAGCUGCAGCCUGCAGGGUCUCUGAAGAAUGGGUCUUCAUCAGAGGACAUGUCUCCUGGCAAGGGGGCAUUUGCUGCCUGCUGCCCAGCUCUGAGCAACAGCCCGGAGCCCUGCUGGCUGCUCUCCGCACCCUGAAGCCGGCUCUGAGUUCGACCAAUGCUCAGCCUUCGCUGGUGCGGCCAGGGCCCUCAUCUGCUGCUUCCAUUUCAGACGCGGAGAGAUUAAGCAAUUAUGGAUUAUUUCAACAUCAGAUGGCCCAAGACAAUUAGUCAGAGGAGAAGCAAAGAAGUGGCCCUGCUGGCUUUUGGUGAAGGGGAAUUUUCAGGCGGAGGUAAACGUGGAAGCAAGGAUGGGUUCGUUCACUGGGAUGGACAGGUGGGGGACAGGACCUGGUUGAUCUGUGGGGUUGGGAGGGAGUAUACAUAUUUAUACAGUGGGAACGGUUAGGAUUUUUUUAAAUGGAACUGUAGCAUAAGAACCCUCACUAUCUUUGAAUUAAACUAGCACUUUUAAGGGAGAUUAGCACUUUUAAGGGAGAUUAGAUUGCUGAUGCUUCUUGGAGAAAAAAAAGUUGCAAGAAGGAGAGAGAGAGAGAGACUGAGUAGUGCAUGUAAUAAAAGACAAUAGAUUAGAUAGUCUCAGAAUGGAUCUGGGGCCCUAAAUCACUCCCAGGCCUGGCUGCCAGGGCACAGACUUCCCGAGCGGGGCCUUCAUGUUUUAUGGUGGCGGCGGCCCUCCAGGGAGUGAGUUACAACCUUGCCGUCAGUGGGCAGCUAUCUGUUAUCCUACAAGUAAACAGGUAUUCAAAUCCUGACUCCGGAACCUUCGCCUUGGUGUUUAAUCAUCCUGGUAAUCUAACCCCCGUCCCCCGCCAAGGUCGCUGUUUUGGAUUGCGUGACUUUCAGACUCUUCUCUGGCACUGAAGGCAGGCGCAGCCGGGCUGACAGCCGC